CUCCGCAUCCAUGCAAAAACCCUUAUUCCACCGUCGACCGCGUCCUGUUCGUUGUACUCGGACCCCACGUGGGUGACUCUGCGAUCCAUCCCUGCUUCUGGAUCCUUGGGAAGAACCAGGUCGCGCGUCCACUUGAUGAAGUGUGCCGCUAUUGGUUGUGCCGUGACGAUUUGUUUGAUUACCGUUUCGUUUUGGUUUUUGUUUCUGGGCGGAGACAAUGGGGAUAGGAUUUUUCAAUUGAGGCCGCUAGCGGGAAUUCACAAGGAGAAGGGACAGCUACGAGAAUGGUGGCAUGAAUAAUGACUCGCGGAAGAGUAGGCUGCAUUUGCAAAAUGGGAGGCCAUCGGUAGAAGCAAUAUAUGUAUAUGCUACUUCAGUGGUGAUGCGAUCAGUGGCCUUCAUGAAUAGUGGUGUUUCUGUUGGACGAUACCUACCUCUGCCAAGGGUGAUUGACUUGCCUUAGCACCACAAGGGUGAUUGACUUGCCUGAGCCAAAAUUAUAGAAACCCUGCUGCCGACCUACUAGAGACCCAGCUGGCGACCUACCUCUGCCAAUCUGGUGACCUCAUGCAUAACUCGAGCACCUCGGCAAGGCGGCUAGGAGCACCUCGUCCAGGGCUGAAUUGUGGUACCUCGGCACGAGGAGCGACCUCCCUCGAGGACUUGUCAACUCAACUGAGGUCCAGGUGGUGACCUACGAGACGUGCUCGCCAACCUCUUCCAUGUGUGCAUCCCGUCACUCUAGGAUCUUCUGGAAGUUAGCUCCCGCAACGAAUGUUUCGGAGGAAACCGAAUAAGUCACAAAGCCUGGUCUACAUGCACAACUACCUCCGAGGACUUCGGACCGGCCAGCCAUGUCUUCCUGGAGAUCUCGAACGCGGUGCGUGAAGCCUACGACAAACAAUGCCUAUAUAAAGGUCUU